AUUGCCCCAGUAACGGCGAGUGAAGCGGCAAGAGCUCAAAUUUGAAAUCUGGCCUCCCCCGGGGGCCCGAGUUGUAAUUUGCAGAGGAUGCUUCGGGUGCGGCCGCCGUCUAAGUUCCUUGGAACAGGACGUCAGAGAGGGUGAGAAUCCCGUCUUGGGCGGGCGGUCCGCGCCCGUGUGAAGCUCCUUCGACGAGUCGAGUUGUUUGGGAAUGCAGCUCUAAGCGGGUGGUAAAUUUCAUCUAAAGCUAAAUAUUGGCCGGAGACCGAUAGCGCACAAGUAGAGUGAUCGAAAGGUUAAAAGCACCUUGAAAAGGGAGUUAAACAGCACGUGAAAUUGUUGAAAGGGAAGCGCUUGCGGCCAGAUUCGGGGGCGGGGUUCAGCGGGUGCUCGUCGCCCGUGUAUUCCUCGUCUCCCGGGCCAGCAUCAGUUUCGACGGCCGGUCAAAGGCCCCCGGAAUGUGUCGUCUCUCGGGACGUCUUAUAGCCGGGGGUGCAAUGCGGCCCGUCGGGACUGAGGAACGCGCUCCGGCUCGGAUGCUGGC
rnacentral:rRNA from 1 species